GGGGGUGUAGCUCAAUCGGUUAGAGCGCCUGCCUGUCACGCAGGAGGCUGCGGGUUCAAGUCCCGUCACUCCCGCCA
rnacentral:tRNA from 1 species